rnacentral:lncRNA from 1 species
UUCGGUAAGCACAACCCACCUUAGCUAGCUUUCCGAUUGCUCGUCGACACUUGCAAUCGGCCUCCCGCGGCACUCGGCACCCGAUUUGGCCCGAUCUCGCAGUUGCUCUCCAACAGCGCGUCGCUUCACAGUCCCGAAAAUUAUAGGUCUUCGGUUAUGUGCCACGGUGGUCCAAAUCUAUUUUCACAAUUUUACGACGUCGCCUCGGCCCUCCAGGCGGAAAUGAAGAUAAAUCGCUUGUUUCUUCAAUAUCUUUAUAACGGCUUGUCGGAUUGUCGAACCGACUUCGCCAACGCGUUUGUUUACCUAGCAAUUAGGUUUACAGAGGGUCAAACGAGAUCAAACCCCUCAUAUAUACCAAAAUCCUAUUUCGGAUGCCCUAGAUGCUACUAUUGCAAAAACCACCAAAUCGAUUUAUGAAAUGGGAAAAAACCAUCUUGAUAGCAUGCUAGGGUUCCAUUCCGACCAUUUCUAGAGCAUUUAAACCUAUCUCUAGAGAUCCACCAUGAGAGAGCUAAAAAGCUUACCUCUCUAAACAUGUAAGGAAGUGAAUUCUCGAAAUCCGAGAGUUGUACUUUAUCCAGGAUCGACUAAUUGUCGAGUGAGUAUCCUUCGGGAAAGCUAAAGUGAACCAAAACAUAAAAAGUGCAUUGAAAUUAAGUCCGCGAGAGCAUAUGGUACAAAACUGCACUGGGCUGAAGUUGCUCUCAGGGACCGGUCCCUGGCAGGGAGAGACUGGUCCCCGAGGCUAGUGGGUGCGGGGGAUCUCGAUGCAACCGGUCCCUGGAUUGAUGAAACCGGUCCCCCGGCGCGCCACCAGCGAGAAAAGCCGAAAAUCGGCUAAGUCCUGAAAAUCGGGCUCUCGGGAACCGGUCUCUUCGAGAGGAACCGGUCUCCCGAGGACCGGUCUCUCGGGGAGAGACCGGUUCCCGAACGCGAGAAGGCCCCUGGCAGCAUGGGCUGCUCUCGGGGACCGGUCCCAAGUUGGGGAGACCGAUCCCUCCGCGCAAAUUCUGCCCAAUAAGGGCUGUGCAAGGAUGGAAAAGUGGAAGGGUUUAAGUGCAAAAUGGCCAUCAUAUGAGGGGUGUAUAUGGGAAAUUACCCUAUCUCCCUCUCAUUCUCAUCCCCUCAUCUUUUUCGCUCUCUCUCUCUCUCUUGCUCUCUCUCUCUCUCUAGAAAGAAAAGGAAAAAGAGAAGGAAGAGAAGAAGAAAAGGGAAAAGAAGAAGGAGAAGAAGGUAGAGAAGAAGAAGGAGAUCAAGGAGAAGGCCUUGAACAUCUCCCUCUCCCUCUCCUCUUCCCAUUGGUGUAGCUCAAGAGAUAAACUACAAACCCUAGCUUGUAGAACUUAGGGUUUUGGGUUUUGAGCUUUGGAAAUUGGGUCAAAUGGACCCCUAGCACCAUUGUUGGUGGACCAAAGCUAGAGUUAGGGUUCCAAAUUGCAAAUGGUAAGAUGGGAACCCUAGGGCUCCAAAAUGGAAUUUUUGGUAAAGUAUGAGAUUGAUCUCAUUUGAGGCCUUGUAAACCUAAUUGGUAGGUCACAAAACGCAAGGUCACAAAACGCGGGGGCGAAGUCGAUUUCGCGAUUCGACUAGUGAAAUUGGAGCUAUCGGCGAAAUACGGCCGAUUUAUCCUUGUCUUGGACCAAGAAGGCCGAGACCUCGUCGUAAGGUUUGCCGAGGAGCGUUUCUAAAGCCUCUACAUCGAUAAAAGGUGGGGGGUGCCAUCCCAAAGCUUUCGAACUCCUUUUUAUGUCUUAGAUUGCAUUUAAUCUCAUCUCUUACAUGUUGCAUUGUAGGAUUGCAUAGUAGCUCCAUUCCUUAUGCUUUCUAAUUGAUAACCUAGUGUACUUCGAACGCUUGGUAACUUAGAUAGGUGAGGAUUGGGUCAGAACGUGGAUCCUAUGAUGUGAACAUGGAUCGAAUUCAUUAGUAUGAUAGUAAACCUUUCCUAUAUGACGCAUGCAUUCAUUAUACAUGAUUAUGGGUAUAGUAGCAUAGUUUUUCUACUAUUGCAUUUACAGCUUUCAGAUAUCUAUCUAUCUAUCUGUUGUUGCUUGUACCCACUUGGACCUAGUGGGGAGAUCGGCAGAGUCGGCGGCCGAGCCUACUGGGAACUAUGGAAGAUAGUUCUCACCCCACUCUAUUUCCAGUGGUAGGUACAGGGCUGCCGAGAGAGAAUCGCGGCAAGGGCAUCGCGCCCGACCAGUGAGACCGUGGUAGUAUAGUAGCUUUCCUUUUUGCAUUAGCACACUUACGUAUUGAGAGAGAUUCAUUGUAGGUGAGGAUUUGGAGAGCUAUGUAUUUUGGAUGAAUGAUAUAAUCAUUUAAAGAAAAUGAUGUAAAUGAAAAAGAAUGAACUAUUGUAAUAGUUAGCAAAGUACUCUCUUUAUUUCACAUGUUAUUCCUGUGGAUUGCUUGCUCUCGUAGUUGCUGGCACUAUUGGUGCCCUGUUGAAUGUGUAUGUUUAGAAUUUAAAUUUCUGGAAAAUUCUUGUAGACAUUCUUGUUGUGAGCCUUGGGCGGACAGGGGAGGUGCUGUCCGUUUGGCGGUCCGCUCACCGCGCCCGAAUCGUGCCAAAUUGGUAGUGAUUUCAGGGCGGGGCGUAACAGUGCUGUGGUAUCAGAGCAAUGAGAGCAAGUAAAGAGGGAAAGUCUAGGAUGACCUAGGAGACCCCAGGUUGGUAAGCCCUAAGGUUAUAGGUGCGUGAGCGGAACGUGAACCUAUAGCGAUGGCGGAAGUUGAUUCAAUUGGAUCGAAGUUGGUAUUAUGUCUCGAGUUGUGAUUAGAGACGGAUUCAAGUGGUAUAAGUUCGUGUCUUGAGGUGGUUGUGUCGGCGGCCGACGACAUGAUACCAAGAGUCUAGAACGAGUACACUUGUGUGCUUUCGCCCAAUUUCGUUGUUGAGUCGUUGUGUGUCGUUAUUGCGACGAAAUGAACGGGUUAAGAGAAUUAACCAAGUAUUUGUGUUUCAGGAGCCAAUGGCACCAAGGAGACGCCCGAGUACGAGGUCUACUACGGCACCACCUCCUGAGGUGCCCGAGCAGACUGAACCGAGCGUGAUGGAUCGGUUGUAAGCGCAAGUCACCGUGCUGACCAAUGUGGUGUAGCGCCAGGAGACCCGAUUCGAGCAGCUCCAGGAUCUUUUGGAGCUGCAGGUUGCGGCGGCGGCUGCGACGGUGAAUGAGGGCGGUGGUCCGCCCGCACCCUCGACUCAUGUGCCCGGAGCGGUAGAGGGUGAGCCAUAGCGGCGGUUCCGGUGACAGCACGCCUACCACCAGCGAUCGUACCACAGGCGGCAUCGGGAUUGGCUACACCCGACGUGUCGGCCGAAGACGUGGAAGGAGAGCGCGCAUUAGCGGCUCUUAUCAAGUUCAACAUGUUCCAUCUGCCAACCUUCGAGGGCGAGAAGGUGGAACCGAAGAUGGUCGAGUCUUGGAUUGACUCGAUGGAAACCCUCUUCGAUGAUUUGCGUACUUUGGAGAGGGACAAGGUGUAUCUCGCCACCCAUUGCUUGGAAAAGGCGGCGAAGGUGUGGUGGAAGCGUGUCAAACGGGAUCGGCUUCUCGGCCUUCCGCCAAUGCUGUGGGAGGAAUUCAAGCGGGAGAUGUUCACUAACUAUUUUCCUGAUACAUUGAAGCGGAAGAUCAAGGAGAAGUUCCGCAAGUUAGAGCAAGGGGACCGCUCAGUGGCAGAGUAUGAGCAAGAAUUCUCCCAUAUUAUAGAUUGCAUCCCGGAUGUUGUAAAGGAUGACCGGGACUGGGCCGAGUGGUUCUUGCGAGGACUUCGGCCGGGAAUUUACAAGGCCGUGCAAAUACUCAAGCUCACGACCUUUGCGGAGGUCUUCGAUCGAGCGCUCUGGGCGGAGCACGGAGAUGCCCACGUUCGGGAGAAGCGUGAGCUUUUGGUCGAGUCCAAGGAUAAGGGCAAGAAACGCCAAGGCAGCAGUAGUUCGGGGGGACAAACACGUUACAAGAAACACCCGAAGUAUCCGCGCACUCAAGAGAAAAGCGGCGGAGCGCUGCGAUGCAUUGUAUGCGGCGGAGACCACCCGGUCUCGCGCUGUGAGCAAGGCCGAGGCAAGUGCUACAAGUGUGGGUAGCCGGGGCACUUCAUUCGAGAUUGCCCGGGAGGAGGAGCCUCACCUGCCCCAUCGAUUGCAUCGGCGCCGGCGAUUCCGGCUCACUAUGGAGGAGUUCCACUGACGGCCGCGUCGAUGGGAUGCGUGAUGAUGCCGCGUCAACCUGAAGUGACGCGAUCUGCCCCGAGCCGACGGGUAUUCGCCGCUCAGGUCCAAGCUGAGGAACCUGCGGAGGCGGAGGAGCAUCGCCUUGUGGCAGGUAUCGUUUUAAUUAAUGGAGUUCGCUCCAGGGCUUUAUUUGAUACAGGAGCCACGCAUUCAUUCAUAAGCAGGUCAUUCGCACGCAUGCAUGACAUUCUCAUAGAGGCGAGUGACAAGUGGCGAGUGGAGGGCCCUGGGUUGCCGGAUGUAUUUCCCGCGGAGUUGCCAAGGAUACUACCGGAUCGGGAGAUCAAGUUCGUCAUAGACUUGGUUCCCGGUACCGCACCGAUCUCGAAGGCUCCGUACCAAAUGGCGCCGGCGGAACUAAAAGAGUUGAGAAGUCAAUUGCAAGACCUCCUCGACAAGCAAUUUAUCUAGCCAAGUGUAUCACCGUGGGGAGCCCCGGUGUUGUUUGUACGGAAGAAGGACGGAUCGUUUCGACUCUGUGUGGAUUAUCGAGAGCUGAAUAGAGUGACGAUCAAGAACAAGUACCCACUACCCCGAAUCGAUGACUUGUUCGAUCAGUUGCAGGGGUCGCGUGUGUACUCGAAGAUAGAUUUGCAGUCCGGCUAUCACCAACUGAAGAUCAAGCCAGAGGAUGUGCAGAAGACCACGUUCCGCACGCGGUAUGGACACUACGAAUUCACGGUCAUGCCAUUUGGACUCACGAAUGCUCCAACGGCAUUUAUGGAUUUGAUGAACCGUGUCUUCAUAGAGUAUUUGGACCGAUUUGUCGUGGUCUUCAUAGACGACAUAUUGGUCUAUUCUCGCAGUGACGAGGAACAUGUCGAGCAUUUGAGAAUAGUGCUUCAAGUCCUUCGAGAGGAGAAGCUAUAUGCUAAGCUGAAGAAGUGUGACUUCUGGCUCCGAGAGGUCGCCUUCUUAGGGCAUGUGAUUUCUGCGGGUGGAGUUUCUGUAGACCCAAGGAAAGUUGAGGCAAUCAAGGAUUGGCCGCGCCCGACGAAUGUCAUGGAGGUUCGAAGCUUCGUGGGCUUGGCGGGCUAUUAUCGGCGGUUUGUGGAAGGCUUUUCCAAGAUAGUGAUUCCACUUACCCGCCUGACUCAGAAAGGCAUCAAGUUUGUUUGGAGUGAAGAGUGCGACCGGAGUUUCAAAUAGUUGAAGCAAAGACUGACUUCGACUUCGGUGCUCGCUCUACCGGUGCAGGGCGAAGACUUCGUGGUCUACAGCGAUGCCUCCUAUCUUGUAUUGGGGUGUGUAUUGAUGCAAAACGGGAAGGUGAUUGCUUAUGCAUCCCGUCAGCUGAAGAGCUAUGAAAAGAACUACCCCAUCCAUGAUUUGGAGCUAGCGGCGGUGAUUUUCGCCUUGAAGCUGUGGAGGCACUACUUAUAUGGUGCCCAUUGUGAGAUCUAUACCGACCACAAGAGCUUGAAGUACCUGUUCACACAGAAAGAGCUCAAUAUACGUCAGCGGCAGUGGUUGGAGCUAUUAAAGGAUUAUGACGUUGAUAUCCUCUACCACCCCGGGAAGGCAAAUCUGGUCGCAGAUGCGCUGAGUAGGAAGUCAGCGGAGAACCUUGCCAUGUGGGUUAUAAAUCAAUCACCUCUAUGGCUGGAAAUGGAGCGACUCGACCUCGAAGUAGUUACUCCCGAGACUCCAGCCUGGUUGAUGGCACUCGUUGUCCAACCGACCUUGUUGGAGAGGAUCAAAGAUCUGCAACCCGUAGACCCAGAACUCCAAAAGGUGCGGCGAAACAUCGAGGAAGGGCAUGGCGGCGAUUUCAAUGUAGACGCCGAUGGUACGCUCCGGUUCUGAAACCGAUAGUGUGUGCCGAAAGAUGGAGAGCUUCGGGAAUUGAUUCUAAGGAAGCACACCGAUCUCCAUAUGCCGAUUACCCGGGCGGCACCAAGAUGUAUCAAGGACUAAAAAUGCACUACUGGUGGCCGGGACUGAAGAGUGACAUUAGACGCUUUGUGGCAAAGUGCCUAACAUGCCAACAAGUAAAGGCCGAGCAUCGAUUUCCAGCGGGAAAGUUUCAAAGCCUACAAAUCCCCGUUUGGAAGUGGGAGGAUAUAUCAAUGGACUUCGUGGUCGGCUUGUCUCGCUUAACGGGCGGCCACGAUGCAAUUUGGGUAACUGUGGACCGAUUGACGAAAUCGGCUCACUUCUUGCCGAUCCACACCACGUGGUCGGGUGACAAGUUAGCGCAGGUAUACCUCAACGAGAUAGUGAGACUGCAUGGGGUGCCGAAAUCGAUCGUAUCGGAUUGUGACCCCCGGUUCACUUCACACUUCUGGAAGAGCCUGCAGGAAGCCCUUGGCACACGGCUCGACUUUAGCACCGUAUUUCAUGCUCAGACCGAUGGGCAAACAGAGAGAACCAUUCAAACUCUGGAGGACAUGUUGCGAGCGUGUGUCAUCGACUAUAAGGGAAGUUGGUGUGAUCACCUACCUAUGACCGAGUUCGCCUACAAUAACAGUUAUCAUGCUAGUGUGGAGAUGGCACCGUUCGAGGCUCUUUAUGGGCGGACGUGUCGGUCUCCUAUACACUGGACUGGCGUAGGUGAGCGGGCUGAGUUCGGCCCUGAUGUGUUGCGAGAAGCGGAGGAGAAAGUUCGCCUUGCCCGCAAAAGAUUGCUCACGGCACAGUCGAGACAGCAAAGCUAUGCAGAUAGGCGCCGACGAGAUAUAGAGUUCACGGUGGGCGACCGCGUAUUCUUGAAGGUUUCAUCGAUGCGGGGUGUGAAGCGGUUUGGAGUGCGGGAAAAAUUGAGUCCCCGAUACAUUGGACUCUAUGAAAUAUUUGAGCGAGUGGGCACGGUGGCUUAUCGACUCGCUUUACCGCCGAAGCUCGCAGAUGUACACAAUGUAUUCCAUGUCUCCAAUCUCCGCAAGUAUAUUCACGACCCCGAGCAUGCAAUGCUAUAUGAGCCACCGGAGCUUCAAGAAAAUUUGAGUUAUGAAGAGUUUCCGGUGAUAAUUAUCGCACGAGAGGUGCGGAAGUUGAGGAAUCGAGAAAUUCCCUACGUGAAGGUUCGGUGGAGCAAUCAUGAUGAUCGCGAGGUCACCUGGAAACUCAAGGAUCUGAUGAGAAAGCACCAUCCUCAUCUAUUUGAGAAGUAAGGUAUGGGUUUGAGUUAAAAUAAAGAAUCAAAUUAGUUCGAGGACGAAACUCCUUUUAAGGAGGGAAGGAUGUAAGGAAGUGAAUUCUCAAAAUUCGAGAGUUGUACUUCAUCCAGGAUCGACUAAUUAUCGAGUUAGUAUCCUUCAGGAAAGCUAAAGUGAUCCAAAACACAAAAAGUGCAUUGGAAUUGAGUCCGCGAGAGCAUAUGGUGCAAAACUGCACUGGGCUGAAGUUGCUCUCGAGACCGGUCCCUGGCAGGGAGAGAUCGGUCCCCGAGGCUAGUGGCUCGGGGGAUCUCGAUGCAACCGAUCCCUGGAUUGAUGAAACCGGUCCCCCGACGCGCCACCAGCGAGAAAAGCCGAAAAUCGGCUAAGUCCUAAAAAUCGGGCUCUCGGGAACCGAUCUCUUCGAGAGGAACCGGUCUCCCGAGGACCGGUCUCUCGGGGAGAGACCGGUUCCCGAACGCGAGAAGGCCCCUGGCAGCAUGGGCUGCUCUCGGGGACCGGUCCCAAGUUGGGGAGACCGAUCCCUCCGCGCAAAUUCUGCCCAAUAAGGGCUGUGCAAGGAUGGAAAAGUGGAAGGGUUUAAGUGCAAAAUGGCCAUCAUAUGAGGGGUGUAUAUGGGAAAUUACCCUAUCUCCCUCUCAUUCUCAUCCCCUCAUCUUUUUCGCUCUCUCUCUCUCUCUUGCUCUCUCUCUUUCUCUAGAAAGAAAAGGAAAAAGAGAAGGAAGAGAAGAAGAAAAGGGAAAAGAAGAAGGAGAAGAAGGUAGAGAAGAAGAAGGAGAUCAAGGAGAAGGCCUUGAACAUCUCCCUCUCCCUCUCCUCUUCCCAUUGGUGUAGCUCAAGAGGUAAGCUACAAACCCUAGCUUGUAGAACUUAGGGUUUUGGGUUUUGAGCUUUGGAAAUUGGGUCAAAUGGACCCCUAGCACCAUUGUUGGUGGACCAAAGCUAGAGUUAGGGUUCCAAAUUGCAAAUGGUAAGAUGGGAACCCUAGGGCUCCAAAAUGGAAUUUUUGGUAAAGUAUGAGAUUGAUCUCAUUUGAGGCCUUGUAAACCUAAUUGGUAGGUCACAAAACGCAAGGUCACAAAACGCGGGGGCGAAGUCGAUUUCGCGAUUCGACUAGUGAAAUUGGAGCUAUCGGCGAAAUACGGCCGAUUUAUCCUUGUCUUGGACCAAGAAGGCCGAGACCUCGUCGUAAGGUUUGCCGAGGAGCGUUUCUAAAGCCUCUACAUCGAUAAAAGGUGGGGGGUGCCAUCCCAAAGCUUUCGAACUCCUUUUUAUGUCUUAGANUCUUGUAGUUCUCACACCACUAACCAUACAGGUUCCAGUGCGGGUUUUGAGGCCGAGGAUCGUGGCAAGGGCCCUGCAGCUUAGCUAGCUGACACCAGAGUUUAGCAAUUACCAUUUUGAGUUCAUGUAUCAUCCAUUUUGAUGUACAGAGACAUGUAAAUGAAUGUAUAAAAGCAUGUAUAUAACUAAAUGUUUCAGUUACAAGUUCAGUUGUGUAAAGUUUUAAAUUACAGUGAAUUUCAUUGUACAGUUAGUUUACUAUCACUUGUGGUUGUUGCUUGCCUUCGUGCAAGCCAUGUAUAUUGAAAUGUGAUCCUGGGAAUUAUUUAAUUUCUUUAUACAUGUAUCCGUUGUUGUUGAGCCUUGGGCGAACAGAGGAGGUGCUGUUCGUUCGGCGUCUGUGUACGGGCCCGGAUCGACCAAAUUGGCGAUAGCGGGACGUGACACCGUGGUAGUAUAGUAGCUUUCCUUUUUGGAUUAGCACACCUAUGUAUUGAGAGAGAUUCAUUGUAGGUGAGGAUUUGGAGAGCUAUGUAUUUUGGAUGAAUGAUAUAAUCAUUUAAAGAAAAUGAUGUAAAUGAAAAAGGAUGAACUAUUGUAAUAGUUAGCAAAGUACUCUCUUUAUUUCACAUGUUAUUCCUGUGGAUUGCUUGCUCUCGUAGUUGCUGGCACUAUUGGUGCCCUGUUGAAUGUGUAUGUUUAGAAUUUAAAUUCCUGGAAAAUUCUUGUAGACAUUCUUGUUGUGAGCCUUGGGCGGACAGGGGAGGUGCUGUCCGUUCGGCGGUCCGCUCACCGCGCCCGAAUCAUGCCAAAUUGGUAGUGGUUUCGAGGCGGGGCGUGACAAAAGAGCUCCAAGGUGAGGAGAGGAAGAGAAGAAGAUGGAGAUGACCUCCUCCAAGCUCUACUCCUUCUCUUUCUUCUUAUUCCCUUCUCUUUUUCUUCUUCUUCUCUUCUCUUUUCCUUUCUUUCUUCUCUUUUUCUCCUUCACGUGUAGAGAGAGAGAGGGAGCAGUGAGGGAGUGAGAGAAUGAGAGAGAUAGAGAGAGAGAGACCCCUCUCAUAACCCCUCUCAUGGCCAUUUUGCACAUAAACCCCUCAACUUUCCAUCCCUUGCACUGCCCUUACUGGGCAAAACUCGCGCGUAGGGACCGGUCUCCCCGACCUGGGACCGGUCCUAGAGGACCUUCCCAUUUUCCACGCGUUCGGGAACCAGUCUUUCCCUGAGAGACCGGUCCUCCGGAGACCAGUCUGCCCACCAGAGACCAGUUCCCGAGAGCUCGUCUCGCGGGACUUGGCCAAUUUUUGGCCAUUCUCGCUGGUGUCACCUGCUAGGACCGGUCCCUCCCUGCCAGGGACCGGUUGCAUCAGCAAUCCCGCAACCCUCAGGCGAUGGGACCGGUCUCUCCCUGCCAGAGACCGCUCCCCGAGAGCAGAACCAGACAAAAAUACAGAUUUUGCAUCUUUGCUCUCGCAGACUCCAUUCCAAUGCACUUUUUGGGUUUUGGAUAACUCUAGCUUCUCCGAAGGGUAUGACCACUAGUCGAUCCUGGACGAGGUGCAACUCUCGGAUUUUGAGAAUUCACUUUGUUACAUACAUCCUAGUUGACCAGAGUGGUCGGUUCCCUUAUACUCUUGUGGUUGCUGAUUUCGCACUUUUUUGUUGACCUGAGUGGUUGGUACUUGCAUACACUUGAGAGGAUGUUGAGUUGUUCAUCCUAAUUGACCAGAGUGGUCGGUACUCGUGUUCCCUUACAGUUCGAUGACCUAUUGGUCGGUGUGCCCCGAGGGGUGGAGAUUGUCGGAUAUUUGCUGACGGUUGGCUAUUGAUCAUACUUGCAUUGAUCGCCACAGCUCGACAGUAUUUCACAAACACCAGCAGUCUGAUCCACGACAGGAGGGUGUUUUUUUCAGAAAAAGUUGUUGGUUGCCAACCUGUGAGCCGAGCGGCCAUUUGUUAGGGUUAUAUGCCAGACAGAGCGGUUGUGGUUUGCCUGAGGUCCUUAUACUUAUACCGACACGACGUUAUAGAUUGGGUAUACUUAUGCUAUCAAUUGCAGUUGACGCAUAGUCAUUUCUAUAUCUCCCUUGGAGUAGCGGUUAUUCAUACCAUUAUUACGGUUGUUUCUAAUUUAGUUACCAUGCUAUUGCACUUGUUUGACUAUUGAUUAUAGUUGGCUGUUGCUUUAUUAUCUCAGUUUACAGUAGUAACUUCUUUGGUGAUUACUGGUGGAUAUUUUUUCAUUGUUAUCAUACCCGAUUACUUGUUACUACUGCUGUUUACCCCUCCUUAUGCCGGUUGGUACAGCUUGCCUUCGUCGGCUUGCAGUACCCACUGGGAGGGGGAGACAUAUUUAAAUGUUCUCACCCCCCACACAUUUUUUGGUGACGCGAGUAGGAUUGUCUGGGACACAGCUAGUGGGCGAUCAUGGAGGUCUCGACCUACAGUAUACAUUCUUAAUUACUUCAUUCUUAACAUCAGAUAUAUAUUAGUGGAUAGUAUAGAUCUUGCCCUACACUAGUUAUUAGAUAUCUACUUGUGGUUCAGUUGGUGGUUUACACUUGAUGUUUUGUAUGAUGUAUAUAUGGUUUUGGAACACUCGUGGUUUUUAGACACAUAUGGCUUUGGAUUCGAAUUUCAAAAUGUAAUUUUCUACCCCUAUGGUAGUGUUCUCAAAACAAAGGUUUUCGGAUGGGAAACGAUUUUCAAGACCUAACAGGGAAUAACCGAAAGUUAGCUACGUGGUCAGAGAAUACCAUCACUCAAGCUUUCCCACAAGACAAUCUAUAGAGAUUGUCUUGCAAGAGAAAACACCGACCCAAUCCAAAAGUCCCAAACGGAGAAAGGGUAUUUCGUCCCAACUUUUGAAACUACGUUGUCUAUAGCCAACGUACUUAUCAAAAGAAAAGCGAAAUAUCCGAAGAUCCACUACCAACAACAAGUUGCAAGCGCGACAAAUCGAAGUAUCAAGCCACCUGAUACAUCUUUAUAGAACCAAAACUGUAGAAACAUCGACUUUGCAAAUCAACAUUCGAAAUCAGGUCAGCCCCGAGUCGACUCACUAAGAGUCCCAUAGCUCUGAAUAUUCAAUAACUGUUAGCGACACUAGGCCACGAACUACACGAGCUAAGGCUUAACAAAGUAGUUUCUUUAACCGAUUUCUGCACCAUAGUGCACUGUAAUUCUAUCGAAACAUCAACUUCAUAAGCCGAUUUUCAAAGCUAGAUCAACCUUUAAGCCAACUCUCCACAAAACAGACGAUAACCCGUGACCUAGAGUCACCACCCACACAAGCUAGUGCGAUAGCAACACGAUUUCGAACUUCGGCCAACCAGCUACAAACCUUUUGAGAUUCUCUAUUAAUCCCAAUGAACUGCUCAAAGCAUUCCAAAAGCCUACUGAUCCCACAACACACCAACCAAGGUGUUGGACAGUCGCACACGAUGUACAUAACGCAAGGACUCACACCAGAACUGUCUCUUCCAAAUUGUAUAGCAACGAUGCCUAAGGGUUACCAUGACUAUUAAUGAGAAGAUAAUAGGAACGCAGGUAUGCAUAAUGUGUACAACAGUUCAAGAGACUUGCGUAAUUAAUUAAGGUAACUAUGUAAACUGAAAUUCAUACCUACGCUCCCACGUACGGGCGCAUUCAUCAGUUGAGAUGAAACAAAGGCAAGCCCGCCAACUGCUUGUAAUGAAGUCACCAGAAGGGAAGCCGCACCCCGCAGUGGUCCAUUACCCCUUGGGCAAUCGCAAUGUAAAUGACCUGGCUCAUCACAUCGAUAAUAGUGGUCUCGACGUCGAGGGCAGGAGAUCACCUAAUGCACUCAACCGCAUAUUACGCAAGGUCGGUCACCUCGGUGUUGUCUAUCAACAAAUUCAUUUUUGGUUGCAGGUUGGGGCUGACGAUUCACGUAUAAAAUCGCAGGGCUAGGAGUGGCAGUCAGUGCUGCAGCAGAUCCCUGAGGACAGUUUUCUUGUUUAUGCCCCGUCUGACCACAACCGAAGCAGUGAUUAUGAUAGCGGGAACAGUGAGUAGUCAAAUGCUUCCUAUCGCAGAUCUUGCAAUGCUUAACAUAAGGCAAUAGACUUGCUGAAGCACUCGUAAUAGAUGAUUGAGUCUGAGGAUGCUUGGGUGGCUUUGAGUUGCUCGAUGAUCCACCCUCUAAAUUCGACUGAGGCCGCUUUCCGAAUGCAUUUUUACUCGAACUCCCUUUCUGAAUAGAGUCCACCCGUUCAUCCAAGGGCUUUGACGAGUUACAAAUUUUAAAUUCCGCCAAGCUCCCUCUCACGUGGGCUUCCUCCAUGGCCAGAGAGUCAACGCCCUCGGCAGAAACAGUGGACGUCGUCGUGUUGGGUAUAACGCGAGCAGCACCCGUGGAUCUAGGGCCACCCGUCACUGGCAUAACCCCAGUGACCACCGCUGUUGUCGUAGGAACGAUUGCCGUGGCACCCAGAAAUGACACUCUAAUGGCUUGAUCACCCGAAGGUCCACUAACCGCCUCGCAGACCACAUCAGCAACAUUACUCGCAGCUAUACCUGUGUCCGGCCCGACGGCGGAGCCUGUUCAACUCCAGCUGCAGCCUGCUGCUGCACCACCUGUUGGACUAAAUCGGCUAGUGCGGUCAACUGCUCCUCCAACCGUCGGAGGCCGUGCACAACAGCAAAAGCCUCGGCAUUAGCGCGUCGUCUCUCUCUACUGCGUGCCAUGUACUAAAAUUGUCACGUCCCGUUAUUGCCAAUUUGGUCGAUCCGGGCCCGUACACAGACGCCGAACGAACAGCACCUCCUCUGUUCGCCCAAGGCUCAACAACAACGAAUACAUGUAUAAAGAAAUUAAACAAUUCCCAGGAUCACAUUUCAAUAUACAUGGCUUGCACGAAGGCAAGCAACAAACACAAGUGAUAGUAAACUAACUGUACAAUGAAAUUCACUGUAACUUAAAACUUUACAUAACUAAAACAUUUAGUUAUUACAUGCCUUAUAUAUACAUUCAUUUACAUGUCUCUGUACAUCGAAAUAGAUGAUACAUGAACCCAAAUGGUAUACCACUAGUACUCGGGUGUCCACUAGCUAGGCUGCUGGCUCUUGCCUCGAUUCUCGGCCACAAUACUCGCACUGGAACCUGUAUGGUUAGUGGUGUGAGAACUACAAGAAAGUUCCCAGUGGGUUCGGCCGCCGACCUCGCCGACUCACCCUCUAGGUCUACUCAGGCAUAUGUAGACAAGAAAAGUAAACAGAUAGUAACCAACUAUAACAUGUAACUACUACAAUGCCUGCACAAAGCUGAAAGAAGUAACAGAUAUAAAAACUGUAAAUAUGCAUGCAUGCUUUUCAUUAACUUUACCCAAUCUUUUGGUUAACCCUCUGGUUAACAGCUGGACAAGUACGUUAGUCCUGGGGCAAGUACGUUAGCCCAUAAAUUUACCCAAUUCAGUGGUUAACCCUUUGGUUAACAAUAACUCACCAACGAAAUCCCUCACGGGCCCUAAGCUGCCUCCCGAUGGGACCGUCUGUCGGACAAGUACGUUAGUCCUGGGGCAGGUACGUUAGCCCAACAAGUGACUACUCCGGAGCUCACUGCCUGGGGGGAGCGACCACCACCAAGCUAAGAAAACAGACUAUGUGAGUAAGAUCUGAUCCCUCUUUAGAGGAUUCAACUGACAACAAUGUCACAAUUCAACUCUAACUAGUUCUUUAUGCUAGUUUCACAAUUUUAUUGCUCGAUGCUAACCAAAUCUCUAGUUAGAAUGUCACCAAGUUCACUAUUGUUCUAGUCCAUGCAUUCAUAGGGUUCUAUGUCCACAUUCUAAGGUUCACAAGUUCUCAUUGUUGAUAGGAAUUUACAUUUUCACUUGCACAAUGCCGAACACCCUAUAAUGCAUGACUACAAAUAUAAAUAUGCUUAACGAAUAAUCAUAGACAUAAAAGGUGAUUCAAAGACUUCGGAUAGCACCACCCACCUUUCUUUGAUGCCGGAAUGGGAGAAAUGCGCUUCUAGCGCUUUCCCGAGAAUCGCGACCCGCGCUCGCGACUUUCGACGCCGAAAAUCUUCUUUUGGCGAUAUCUUCGCGUAGGAGCGUCGGAUUGCCGAACCGACUUCGCCAGCGCGUUUCUUUUAUCCCCAAUUACGUUUACACGCGGUCAAUUUCACUUUAGGGCUUCUAUCCUGCAAAAGUGCAUUGUCGAGUCAGUUUCUCAAAAAACCCCGAUUUCAAUGCAAUUUUACAUGUAAAUAGCGUAUUUCAACUCUUUCUUCGUCCAAGGAUCUCAGAUCAGUUAUUAAAAACUGUACAAAUGCUUCGAUUCCACUUUUCUCUCCAUUCUAUUAUCUUUCUUUCAUUUUCUCUUCUUUUCUUACUUUCUUUCUUUCUUACUUGCUUUC